CAUAGGUUAAUGAGGCGAACCGGGGGAACUGAAACAUCUAAGUACCCCGAGGAAAAGAAAUCAACCGAGAUUCCCCCAGUAGCGGCGAGCGAACGGGGAGGAGCCCAGAGCCUGAAUCAGUGUGUGUGUUAGUGGAAGCGUCUGGAAAGGCGCGCGAUACAGGGUGACAGCCCCGUACACAAAAAUGCACAUGCUGUGAGCUCGAUGAGUAGGGCGGGACACGUGGUAUCCUGUCUGAAUAUGGGGGGACCAUCCUCCAAGGCUAAAUACUCCUGACUGACCGAUAGUGAACCAGUACCGUGAGGGAAAGGCGAAAAGAACCCCGGCGAGGGGAGUGAAAAAGAACCUGAAACCGUG
rnacentral:rRNA from 1 species